UCGGAAGAAGGGGUGCCCUAGUAGUUUCCUGGCUUCGUGCCAGGGGGUGAGGGGGCCGCAGUAAAUCGGCUCAAGCGACUGUUUACCAAAAACACAGGUCUCUGCGAACACGCAAGUGGAAGUAUAGGGGCUGACUCCUGCCCAGUGCCGGAAGGUUAAGAGGAGGGGUGCACGUAGCUCCUAAUCGAAGCCCCGGUGAACGGCGGCCGUAACUAUAACGGUCCUAAGGUAGCGAAAUUCCUUGUCGGGUAAGUUCCGACCCGCACGAAAGGAGUAACGACUUGAGCGCUGUCUCGACAGGGGGCUCGGCGAAAUUGAAGUACCCGUGAAGAUACGGGUUACCCACGACAGGACAAAAAGACCCCGUGGAGCUUUACUACACCUUGGCCUUGAGACGAGGCGGUGGAUACGUAGCAUAGGUGGGAGUCGGAGAAGCACCCCUUGCGGGGGGUGUGGAGACAGCAGUGAAAUACCACUUUUCCACGGUGUUGUGUCUCACACCGACCCCUACAUCGGGGAGGUGGACAGGGCCAGGCGGGUAGUUUGACUGGGGCGGUCGCCUCCUAAAGAGUAACGGAGGCGCCCAAAGGUUCCCUCAGGGUGGAUGGACAUCACCCUGAUAGAGUGUAAAGGCAGAAGGGAGCUUGACUGCGAGGCGAACAGGCCGAGCAGGGACGAAAGUCGGGCUUAGUGAUCCCACAUUCCCGCGUGGAAGGAGUGUGGCUCAACGGAUAAAAGCUACCCCGGGGAUAACAGGCUUAUCUUGCCCAAGAGUUCACAUCGACGGCAAGGUUUGGCACCUCGAUGUCGGCUCGUCGCAUCCUGGGGCUGGAGUCGGUCCCAAGGGUUGGGCUGUUCGCCCAUGAAAGCGGCACGCGAGCUGGGUUCAGAACGUCGCGAGACAGUUCGGUCUCUAUCCGUCGUGGGCGCAGGAAGAUUGAGGAGCGUCAUCUCCAGUACGAGAGGACCGAGAUGGCUCGACCGCUGGUGCGCCAGUUGGGGUGCCCACCCCACAGCUGGAUAGCUAUGUCGAGAAGGGAUAAGCGCUGACAGCAUCUAAGCGCGAAGCCGCCUCCCAGACGCGUCUUCCCACUGCUCGUGAGGCAGUCAAGAUCCCAGGGAGAAGACCUGGUAGAUAGACCACAGGUGGAGGCCUGGUAACAGGUGAAGCCAAGUGGCCCUAAUGAUCGUACGGCUUGUC
rnacentral:rRNA from 1 species